GCCUGUCUGUAAUCCCUCCGCCGCCUGUCUGCUUCAAACCGCCGCCGCCUUCUUCCUCUGCCUGAGGAGUAGUGUCAUCGCUACUACCCCCUCACUCUGCUCUCAUCAGUUUUGCUCCGUCGUCGCGCCGCGUGCUCCCUACGCCGGAGCUAGGCCAAAAUUAGUGCUUCAAUUUAUGGGUAUCAAAGGGAUGAAUAUUGCUCAUGUCAAGAGCCAUUUGUAGACUCUUGCUGGCCUUAUUAGCGAUGGAACUAUGACGGAUCUAGCAUGGGCCAAGCUCCCGGAGAGGACAUUGAAGUGAUCCUAUAGUAUGUUAAUAAUCUUUGAAGGAUAUUCGAAUGGAUAUAUACUAAGAGAAAGAUGUUAUCCGGAAUGAAGCAAAAGUUUAAUUUGGCCGACGAUGUUAACGUUACAAAAGUCUUGUUCGAUCAACUCAACCGUCAAUACAUGAAUUAUUGACAUAACUUACACAAACACUACCUUAAGAACAAAGGCAAAAGCGACAAUCCUCCAAUUGGGGUUAAUCUUGAGGAUUGGAAAACAUGUGUUGAAUAUUUUGAGGGCGAGGCGUUUAAGGUACUACACUGGUGAUAACUUCAUUUAUGUUGUAUUUAUGUUUGGUUGGUUAAUGAUGAUAAUUUCAUUUGUUGUAUUUAUGUUUGGUUGGUAAUGAUGAUAGAAAAAUGUGUUUUGGAUUAUGUGGAUCGGGUAGAAAAAGGCAUGUUCACGCUUGUGUUGCAAUUUUCUGGUUUGUUUGAUAAUUUGAUUGUUCAUUUUUUUUCCGAAAAAAGGCGUGUCAAUUGUGUUGCAAUUUUCUGUAGAAAAAAAAAUUAUGAUAUAAGUGUGAUCAAGUCAUUCUGUACAUUAGCGUGAUUAAUUGUUGAUAUUACUGGAGUAAAACUAAUUAUCAUAUUAGCGUGAUCACUUCUUUAUGUAUAUGGUCUUCAAAAUACUACUAAUUAUCAUAUAAAUGUGAUCACAUCAAUCUGUAUGAUUAAUUGUUGAUAUUACUGGAGUAAAACUAAUUAUCAUAUUAGCGUGAUCACUUCUUUCUGUAUAUGGUCUUCAAAAUACUACUAAUUAUCAUAUAAAUGUGAUCACAUCAAUUUGUAUGAUCUUCAAAAUUCCAGUAUGUAUAUGUGAUUGAUUGUUGAGAUGAUAGUUCAGAAAUGAACGUAAUCAUGCCUUUUCAAAAAUUGUCUUUUAAUGUUUAGUAUUGUUCCUUUGUAGAAAAUCAGCAAUAGGAAUAAAGAUAAUAGAUCAAAGUUACAGAUGAAUCAUGCAUGCGGAACAAAAUCUAUUGCACAGUUUUGCUACGAAGAGCGUGACAAUGAAACUAGAGAGGAGCCUAGUCACACAACUGCAUGGAGAUUGAGCCGUUAUAGUAACACGAAAAAGGACUGGAUCGAUGAGGCCUCAAAGGAAGUUUAUGAUGAGCUUAUGAAGUUGCAAGCUGAAGACAUUGAAGAUCCUAUGUCAGAAGAUGAAGCUUUUGUCAAGGUUCUUGGUGAGGAAAAAUCGAGCCGACUUCAAGAAUGUGGAGAUGGAUUGAAGCCACCAUCCAAAAGAUGAGAGAGGAUUAAUCUUGAUUUGCAAAAAGAGAAUGAAGAGCUGAAGAAAAAGAAUGAAGAGUUGGCCUCUCGAUUUGAGUCUUUAGAAGCUUAAAUUAACGUGAUCACGUAUUUACUUGAAUAAGCUUCCGCAUCAAUUUUAUAAUUCGAUUCUGUUGUUCUUAUAAAUAGACGUGAUCACAUUGUUUUUUAAAUAAGCUUCUACAUCACUUUCAUAAUUCAUUUAUUAGAAAUAAA